rnacentral:rRNA from 1 species
UACGUAGGGUGCAAGCGUUGUCCGGAAUUAUUGGGCGUAAAGAGCUCGUAGGCGGUCUGUCGCGUCUGCUGUGAAAACUCAGGGCUUAACCCUGAGCUUGCAGUGGGUACGGGCAGACUAGAGUGCGGUAGGGGAGACUGGAAUUCCUGGUGUAGCGGUGAAAUGCGCAGAUAUCAGGAGGAACACCGAGUGGCGAAGGCCAGCCCCCUGGGCUAACACUGACGCCU